GAAGAUAUUUCUCAAAGAACAAAAUCACCAGACUUCCUUCCUUAUUUCCCGAUAUAGAAAAUAAAGGCACUCCAACGUUUCUCCGUUUCUAUCUUCCGUUCCGUUCCUCUGUUUCUCCUUAAUUUAAGUUGUUAUAGAGAUCGAGAAUUUGAAACUUAAGGCGGUUGUUAUGGCUGGUCAAAGAAAUGAUUACGGUAAGAGGUCCCCUUUUCAGUCUGAUCACGCUGGAAAUGGAGCAGGAGGUAGUAAAAGAAGGAAUGGAGGUGAGGAAAAUGAACAGCAUGGGAUUGGGCCUGAAGACACUGUAUACCGUUAUUUAUGUCAUGUCAGAAGGGCUGGGAGUAUUAUAGGGAGAGGUGGUGAGAUUGUGAAACAGUUAAGGUCAGAUAGUAAGUCGAACAUUAGGAUUUGCGAAGCUAUGCCGGGUUGUGAGGAGAGGGUUGUUAUGAUUUAUAGCUCUAGUGAGGAAACAAAUCCCUUUGGUGACGGUGAUGAUGAACUUGUUUCGCCUGCUCAGGAUGCUUUGUUUAGGGUACAUGAUAGGGUUGUUGCGGAAGUGUUGCCUGCCGAUGAGGAUUUCGAAGAGCAAACACAUUUGGUUACUGUGAGAAUGCUUGUGGCAUCUGAUCAGAUUGGCUGUGUUAUUGGGAAAGGUGGACAAGUGAUUCAAACUAUAAGGAGCGAAACACAUGCUCAGGUUCGGGUUUUAAGUAAUGAGCAUUUGCCUUCGUGUGCUUUGGGUUCCGAUGAGCUUCUUCAGAUAGUUGGAGAGCCCUCAGUAGUUAGGAAGGCUCUGUAUCAUGUGGCAUCUCGCCUUCAUGAUAAUCCUUCAAGAUCCCAGCACUUGCUUCCCUCCUCUCUAUCAAAUAUGAAUCUACCCGAUGGGAUGUACAUGAAUGCUCCCCUUAUUGGUUCUUAUGGAAACUAUUCUUCCAGAAGAGAUGAUGGUUCUGCAAGGGAAUUUUCUCUUCGUUUGGUUUGCCCAGUUGGAAACAUUGGGGGUGUGAUUGGAAAAGGUGGUGGUAUUAUCAAACAGAUUAGACAGGAGUCUGGGGCAUCUAUAAAAGUUGAUAGCUCUUCGGCUGAAGGAGAUUAUUGCAUUAUAUUCAUAUCAGCGAAGGAGUUUAUUGAAGACCCAUCCCCAAUCAUCAAUGCUGCUUUGCGGUUGCAAUCACGAUGCAGUGAAAAAACAGAAAGAGAGUCGAGUGAUUCUGUAAUCACCACCCGUUUACUUGUCCCAAGCUCACAGGUUGGGUGCCUUAUUGGUAAAGGUGGGGCUAUAAUAUCUGGGAUGAGGAAUGCUACUAGGGCUAGUAUUCGCAUACUUUCCAAAGAAAACCUUCCCAAAGUUGCAUAUGAAGAUGAAGAGAUGGUGCAGAUUACUGGAAGUCUGGAUGUUGCUAGCAAUGCCUUUUCGCAAGUACUGAUGCAUCUGAGAGCCAAUAUAUUUGAAAGAGAAGCAUCAGCUCCCGCAUUUUUUCCCGUCCUUCCCUACAUUCCCAUGUCAUUAGACAUGUCAGAUGGUCCUAAGUAUGGUAACAAAGAUGGUCAACCACGUAAUCGUGGACACUCUUCUUAUUCAGGGGGAUACAGCCCCGAUUUGUCCACAAGUGACAAUAAAGGAACUUAUAGUGGUUCACUUAGUGGAAGUGACAUCUAUGGAAAUCAUGGUGGUCGGAAUUCCGGUUGUCCAAUGUAAACCAAGUUUCACAUAGGAAGCAUGGGUAUUAGUCCUGGGUUCUAGACCCCACAGAUAUGCAGAAUGAUAUCUUAAACCCUGCCAGCCAUCCCAUGCCAAGGAUUCCACUGCACCUUCCCCACUUGUUGCCCUUUCUCCCCUAUCUAAACAGUUGCCACAAAUUUUGAAGCCAGACCUUUCCCCUUUUCGAUGAAGCCAGCCUAUACCAGAAGACCAGACAAAUUGGGUUUGAGAAACUUAUGUUCUACUUUGGCCACCAUCGUGCUUGCUUGGGUGACCAAGAAUAAGAUCAUUUAAUGAUGCAAAUCACCAUUCGAUCAUUUUUGGCCUGGACUUCAUGAUUUUCAGGCUCUGUAACGAGUUUCUAAUAAUGGCUUUCCGUGUAAAAAUCCUUAGACUUGUAUCCUUGACAUUUGGCACUUUGGCUGAUGAAUUGAUUUUAAUGUUUUAUAACGUGGGAGUUAAUGUAGGACCUACUUGAU